UACGUAGGGGGGCAAGCGUUGUCCGGAAUCAUUGGGCGUAAAGCGCGUGUAGGCGGUUCGAUAAGUCUGCUGUGAAAGUCCAGGGCUCAACCCUGGGAUGCCGGUGGAUACUGUCGAGCUAGAGUACGGAAGAGGCGAGUGGAAUUCCCGGUGUAGCGGUGAAAUGCGCAGAUAUCGGGAGGAGCACCAAUUGCGAAGGCAGCUCGCUGGGACGUCACUGACGCUGAGACGCGAAAGCGUGGGGAGCAAACAGG
rnacentral:rRNA from 1 species